CGCCUAUCAAGAGUGACGCCAGGGAACUGGCCCGAUACGCGUCCCCCAACCUUCCGAGUCCGGAAAAGGUGGGAAUUCCAGCCCCGAUACGGGGAAAGAUAGCAA
rnacentral:ncRNA from 2 species